rnacentral:rRNA from 1 species
GAUGAACGCUGGCGGCGUGCCUAAUACAUGCAAGUCGAGCGAACAGACGCGGCGCUUGCUCCUUUGACGUUAGCGGCGGACGGGUGAGUAACACGUGGGUAACCUACCUAUAAGACUGGGAUCACUUCGGGAAACCGGAGCUAAUACCGGAUAAUAUUUCGAACCGCAUGGUUCGAUAGUGAAAGAUGGCUUUGCUGUCACUUAUAGAUGGACCUGCGCCGUAUUAGCUAGUUGGUGAGGUAACGGCUUACCAAGGCAACGAUACGUAACCGACCUGACAGGGUGAUAGGCCACACUGGAACGGAGACAGGGUCCAGACUCCUACGGUAGGCAGCAGUAGGGAAUCGGACGCAAUGGGCGAAAGCAUGACGGAGCAACGCCGCGUGAGUUACGACGGUCUUCGGAGCGUAAUACUCUGUUAUGAGUGAAGAAUCAACGUGUAAGUAACCGUGCACGGCGUGACGGUACCGAAUCAGAAAGCAACGGCUAACUACGUG